rnacentral:rRNA from 1 species
CCUUUCUGGGAAUUUUUUAAUCUUUUGAACGAGUGGCGGACGGGUGAGUAACACGUGGGUAACCUGCCCUUAAGUGGGGGAUAACAUUUGGAAACAGAUGCUAAUACCGCAUAAAUCCAAGAACCGCAUGGUUCUUGGCUGAAAGAUGGCGUAAGCUAUCGCUUUUGGAUGGACCCGCGGCGUAUUAGCUAGUUGGUGAGGUAACGGCUCACCAAGGCAAUGAUACGUAGCCGAACUGAGAGGUUGAUCGGCCACAUUGGGACUGAGACACGGCCCAAACUCCUACGGGAGGCAGCAGUAGGGAAUCUUCCACAAUGGACGCAAGUCUGAUGGAGCAACGCCGCGUGAGUGAAGAAGGCUUUCGGGUCGUAAAACUCUGUUGUUGGAGAAGAAUGGUCGGCAGAGUAACUGUUGUCGGCGUGACGGUAUCCAACCAGAAAGCCACGGCUAACUACGUGCCAGCAGCCGCGGUAAUACGUAGGUGGCAAGCGUUAUCCGGAUUUAUUGGGCGUAAAGCGAGCGCAGGCGGUUUUUUAAGUCUGAUGUGAAAGCCCUCGGCUUAACCGAGGAAGUGCAUCGGAAACUGGGAAACUUGAGUGCAGAAGAGGACAGUGGAACUCCAUGUGUAGCGGUGAAAUGCGUAGAUAUAUGGAAGAACACCAGUGGCGAAGGCGGCUGUCUGGUCUGUAACUGACGCUGAGGCUCGAAAGCAUGGGUAGCGAACAGGAUUAGAUACCCUGGUAGUCCAUGCCGUAAACGAUGAAUGCUAGGUGUUGGAGGGUUUCCGCCCUUCAGUGCCGCAGCUAACGCAUUAAGCAUUCCGCCUGGGGAGUACGACCGCAAGGUUGAAACUCAAAGGAAUUGACGGGGGCCCGCACAAGCGGUGGAGCAUGUGGUUUAAUUCGAAGCAACGCGAAGAACCUUACCAGGUCUUGACAUCUUUUGAUCACCUGAGAGAUCAGGUUUCCCCUUCGGGGGCAAAAUGACAGGUGGUGCAUGGUUGUCGUCAGCUCGUGUCGUGAGAUGUUGGGUUAAGUCCCGCAACGAGCGCAACCCUUAUGACUAGUUGCCAGCAUUUAGUUGGGCACUCUAGUAAGACUGCCGGUGACAAACCGGAGGAAGGUGGGGAUGACGUCAAAUCAUCAUGCCCCUUAUGACCUGGGCUACACACGUGCUACAAUGGAUGGUACAACGAGUUGCGAGACCGCGAGGUCAAGCUAAUCUCUUAAAGCCAUUCUCAGUUCGGACUGUAGGCUGCAACUCGCCUACACGAAGUCGGAAUCGCUAGUAAUCGCGGAUCAGCCACGCCGCGGUGGAAAUUAACGGGUUG